UGAUUUGAAGAACAUAUGCUAUUAGAAUGAUUUAAUUGUUGACCUUGUGGAUGAUGAUGAAUGAAUAUUGAAUUUGCAUAAUGUAAAAGUUUUGUUUGUUGACUUUUUAUUUUAUUUUUUAAUUUUAAUUUUUUCCUUCUAGGUGGGAUAAUGAUGAACCUGGAAAGUUAGAGCUUUCGACAUGGCACACAUAUAUUUCAGUAGUCCUGUGCUUGAUCAUAAUUUCUUUGGCAUGUUGGUUGGGACUCGUAGCAGCUUGAAACUUUUGGCAUACUGAUAUUUAUUAGUGGCACUAGUAGGAACUUGGAAUUAAAAAUUAAAAUUAAAAGUUUUGAAAAGUUUAUUUUGUGAUUUUAUGAUGAUGAAUCCAUGUAUUUAAAAAUGUUAUAUUUUAUUAAAGACUUUGUUUAUUAACGUUUGGAUAUAUCUAUAUAUAUAUAAUAUGAAUGCUUAUAUUUACCUCUUUAACCUUAUCAUCUUUCUUGAAUUAAUUAUUGGUCUUUUUUUUGCUGUAUGUACAUAUAUUUUGAUAGUGCAUACAUCUUGUGGAGAUGGGUUCAAACCGCCAACCACACAACAUAUAUAUAUAUAUAUAUAAUAUGAAUGCUUAUAUUUACCUCUUUAACCUUAUCAUCUUUCCUGAAUUAAUUAUUGGUCUUUUUUGCUGUAUGUACAUAUAUUUUGAUAGUGCAUACAUCUUGUGGAGAUGGGUUCAAACCACCAACCACACAACACCAUAAUAUGGAAGAAAUAGAAAAAUGAUCUUUGAGUUGACAAUUAUUUUUUUUCGAUAAAUAAACAUCAAUAUAUAAGCAAAGGCAAACGCCGCAAAGCAUACAGGGAGUAUACAAGGCGACAAAGGCCACACAACAACAACAAAAACGAGAACAACAAAAACCCACCAGCCCUCAACUGGAGGCUAUCCACUCCAGGAAUCCUAUAAGGGACCGGGACUCCGCACCAUUAUACAAUUU
rnacentral:lncRNA from 1 species